GACGAACGCUGGCGGCGUGCUUAACACAUGCAAGUCGAACGGUGAAGCGCCUUCUUUUUUGGUGGGUGUGGAUGAGUGGCGAACGGGUGAGUAACACGAGCGUAACCUGCCCCCUUCUUCUGGAUAACCGCAUGAAAGUGUGGCUAAUACGGGAUAUUCUGGGUCUGUCGCAUGAUGGGUCUGGGAAAGCUAUUGUUUCGGUGGGGGAUGGGCUCGCGGCCUAUCAGCUUGUUGGUGGAGUGAGGGGCUACCACGGCGGUGACGGGUGGCCGGCCUGGGAGGGUGGACGGUCACAGUGGGACUGAGCCACGGGCCAGACUCCUGGGGGAGGCAGCAGCGGGGGGUAGUGGACGGUGGGCGCGAGCCUGAUGCAGCGGCGCGGCGCGGGGGAUGGAGGCCUGCGGGUUGUGAACCUCUUUCGCCAGUGAAGCAGGCCUGCCUCGUUUGUGGGUGGGUUGACGGUAGCUGGAGAAGAAGCGCCGGCUAACUACGUG
rnacentral:rRNA from 1 species